CCCUUAGAUGUUCUGGGCCGCACGCGCGCUACAAUGAUGAAUUCAACGAGUUUAUAACCUUGGUUGAAAAGCCUGGGUAAUCUUUUGAACUUUCGUCGUGAUGGGGCUAGACCCUUGCAAUUAUUGGUCUCCAACGAGGAAUUCCUAGUAAACGCAAGUCAUCAGCUUGCAUUGAUUACGUCCCUGCCCUUUGUACACACCGCCCGUCGCACCUACCGAUUGAAUGGUCCGGUGAAAUCUUCGGAUUGAGACUUUGUUUUCUUCACGGAAAACGCUGUUUUAAAAAGUUGAUUAAACCUUACCAUUUAGAGGAAGGUGAANUCGUAACA
rnacentral:rRNA from 1 species